rnacentral:lncRNA from 1 species
GGUUAGAAAGUGUGUAAUAUUCAAUGUGCGUAAAUGAUAUAGGAUGCUAUCAAUUAUUAAAAAAAAAAGAAAAAAACGUUAAGUUUGAUACAUUGAAAACAGUGAAUAUUUGAAUAAUUGGUAACUAUUUGUGAGCAUUGUAUUGUAUAAGAAAAAAUUAUUUACAUGUACCUAAACAGUUUGAAAGUCAUAGCUUAAAAUUUUUUUUAAAAAGCCAAACCCAUUUAUAUUAGCAAAAAAAAUUUGUCAAAAACAAAAUAGCUCAAAAAUUUCAUGAAAUUAGAAAAUAAAAGAAAAAAACAAAACCAAAUCACAAAAUCAAAUUAAACUUCACAAAACAAGAAGAAAAAUAUAAACAAAAUAAAGAAUUUUCACAACAUUAAAGAAAAAAAAAAACCUCCAAAACCCAUUACAAAGACAGCAGCCUAAACAAUAAUUAAAAGGACAAUAAUCAAAAUACAAAAGAGUAAAAAAAUAAAGAAGAACACGACCUCAAAGAAUCAAAUAACAAAGAAAAUGAACAAAAAAGCACCAAAAGAAAUAAAGAAAACAAAACAAAACCAAAAAAAGAAAAGAACAGUGAAAAAAGAGGAGAAAAAGAUGAAAAAAAAAAUAGAGAAAGUGACAAAUGGGAGAGAGCGAAAACCUAGAGGGAAAAAGAAUAAUCUAGAAGCAUAUCAAUCAAAAAGACCAAAAUAACAUGACAAACAAAACCAAAAAGAAAAAAAAAAAAAAAAAAAAAAAAAAAAAAAAAAAAAAAAAAAAAAAAAAAAAAAAAAAAAAAAAAAAAAAAAAAAAAAAAAAAAAAAAAAAAAAAAAAAAAAAAAAAAAAAAAAAAAAACCUU